rnacentral:rRNA from 1 species
CAGUAGCCGGCGGUAAUACAGAGGGUGCGAGCGUUAAUCGGAGUUACUGGGCGUAAAGGGCGCGUAGGCGGUGAGGAGGGUGUGAUGUGAAAGCCCCGGGCUUAACCUGGGAAGUGCAUCGCAAACCGUCUCACUGGAGUAUAAGAGAGGGUGGCGGAAUUUCCGGUGUAGCGGUGAAAUGCGUAGAGAUCGGAAGGAACGUCAAUGGCGAAGGCAGCCACCUGGCUUAAUACUGACGCUGAAGCGCGAAAGCGUGGGGAGCGAACAGGAUUAGAUACCCGAGUAGUCCCUGUCUCUUAUA